rnacentral:tRNA from 1 species
GGCCUUUGUCAGCCGACACCGCACCCUUGGUAAGGGUGAGGUCGACAGUUCAAUCCUGUCAGGCGGCACCA